AUAAUAUAAGAUUUAACCUGCCCGCUGAAUAAUUGAAUGGCCGCGGUAUUUUGACCGUGCAAAGGUAGCAUAAUAAUUAGUUUUUUGAUUGAAAGCUGGAAUGAAUGGUUGGACGAGAAAAUUACUGUCUCUGAUUAAAUUUUGAUAAAACUUUAUUUUUAAGUUAAAAAGCUUAAAUGUUGUUAAAAGACGAGAAGACCCUAUAGAGUUUUAUAAUUUUUUAAUAAUAUAAUUUUAGGUAUUUAAAUUUUGUUUUUAAAAAAUUAUUUUAUUGGGGUGAUAGAAAGAUUAAAUAAACUCUUUUUUUAUUUAAACAUUUAUAUAUGAUUAUUUGAUCCAUUUUUUAUGAUUAUAAGAAUAAAUUACCUUAGGGAUAACAGCGUAAUCUUUUUAGAGAGUUCUUAUCGAAAUAAGGGAUUGCGACCUCGAUGUUGGAUUAAAGUUAAUUUUUGGUGUAGAAGCUUGAAAAUUGAGUCUGUUCGACUUUUAAAACUUUACAUGAUCUGAGUUUAAACCGGUGUGAGCCAGGUUGGUUUCUAUCUUUAUUAAACAAAAAUAUCUUAGUACGAAAGGACCAA
rnacentral:rRNA from 1 species